UGCUGCAACAGGCGGAGAGG
rnacentral:misc_RNA from 1 species